rnacentral:lncRNA from 1 species
UAAUUAUAGAAAAGCCAACAUUAGAAUAGCUCUGAGUCAUAUAGAUUUGAAGUUCUCAACAUAUAAAAGAGAGACGUGAACGGUAUCAUAAGGCAGAUCAAACGCAGAAAUUUUCUUGGAAAUGUUUUUCCAUUCGGCAAAAUGACACCUGAUAAGAUACUGAAAGCCAAAAAGAGCUGCGGUACACACAAAACCAGAAAAGGCGACCAACCGAACAAAAAUUGCCCUCCUGGAUAGCGUGGUUGGAAACUCACCACCAGGUGAAUGUGCAAGGCACGGGGCAAAAUUCUUGAAAGAGGACGGUUACUGUCGUUUGUUAAAAGAAGAAUAUGGUCGCGUCCUAUAUGAACGAGACCUUGCGAAAAGAAAUCUAACAGUUGCAAAUUACCGGCUUACUGGAGAGCUCCAGAAAGAGGGACAUGAAAAGGAAUUUGCUGUGGCAGCCACAGACCAGAGAAACACACGACGAAUUGCACACGAAGAACCGAGCCAGUUUAGCCCCCGACUGAGCUCGAAAUACUCAAAAUCAUACUCGGAUCAUCAUACUAGAAGGGAAGAAGACAGCUAUAGCCAAGACAGUAACUCUGAAGACAAAGACAAGCAUGGAGACGAAGCAGCUAAUAAUUACGCGAGCAAUUCAUAUGACGAUGAUGACGAUUGUGGUGGUGACGAUAACAAUGAUGAUGAUGAUGGCACUAGAAGCAAGGAGCAAAACAAUGAGAACAAAGAUGAGAGCGGAGCUAAUGACGAUGGAAAUGAUGAGAACUGUGAUGAAACUAAUCAUGAAGGCAGCAAUAGUGUCGAUGGUGAAGAAGAAUUUUCCAGCCACAAUGGCGAGUGUGCUAAGAGUUGCCCGAGUGCAGACGAAACAUCAGUUGGUUCAGAUGAUACCGUUGAGUCUCUGACUGAAGAAUUAAACGUCAGCUGUCGAUUGAACUCACAAUAUAGCCUUGAUGAAGACAGGGGAAAAUCUAGUGCGGAGAACAAUGAUGGUAGCCUAGCCAGUAGCAACAGUACCAACAGCAGUAAUGACACAUCUUGUGAAAAUUCCCACACCAGAAAUGACAAGAAAAAAGCUAAAGACCUGCGAAAAACCAACAGCUUUGAAGUAGGAAGUAAAGCUGAGCGUUCAGUGGAACGAGAUGGUGAAGUUGCAAGUCAAGGAGCAAGACCAAAGAUUGUGCCGCAGAAUCCAGAGCUGUUCGUUGCACUUGAAACACAUUACCAGAACGGAAAGAUACCAUCCCUAGAGACAACUGGUAUUAAUCAAAAUUUUCUCGCACGGCACUCGACACAUCCAAGUCUUCUGCAGAGCUCUUUUACAGAAAGUUAUGACUUGUGCACUAGCAACAAGUAUUCAAACGAUUGGACCCAAACUUCUAUAACCAGCAACAGCAGCUCCUCCACACUUUGGAACCUCCCCCGUUCAUCGGCCUCAGAAAGAAGUAGGUCAAUGCUAAAGAAUGCAUAUUCCAGUGGGUUGGUUCCAUGGUAUGGAGAUCCAAUGCCAGUAAAUUUCCAACCUGUGACAUCAAUUACGGCGCAGUUCCCCAACGCCAGUAACUUAAGCCACGACAUUGACCGGUGUAACUGAAAUGAAAGUCUGUUCAGUAACAUACAUCAAACUAGCUUUUCAAGUUUUGGUGACUUUACUGCAGAAAAUGGGACUCAGACAGCAUCACCUUCACUUGGAGUUAGCCUAUUGGCACCCGCUGUGAGAUAUCCAGCCGUUACCACACCAAGUUCCACGAUAAGUUUUUCGACCACCACUUCGCAAUUCUCUUCAAGUACGAUGUCAGGAGGUGUAGCCCCAAUUACUUCCACUUAUGAUAUGUUAGGUAGUUAUGGACGAGAACGAGUAGGUGACUUCAACAGGUGGAGGCUCUCCUAUAGAAAUAACCAAGCAAAUAGUGGUUUGACCUCACCAAAAAUAGUUCAUCCAAAGAGACGAGAAGAUAGCUUGAGGAACCAUGACCUAUUCAAUAAUCAACAGGAAGGUUCACUUGCUUCAGUAUCGCUUAGGGACCCUUCACUGGUUUCUCUAGAACAACAAGUGGCUGAAAUCGAUAGCCUUCUUAAAGAACGAGAAGAACGAACCAAAAGACAGAGAGAGGCGGCACAAAGACAAAGGGAGAUAAGGGAAAAGAGGCAAAGAGAGGCAAGACAAAGGAAAG